rnacentral:rRNA from 1 species
CGCUGGCGGUAUGCUUAACACAUGCAAGUCGAACGGAAACGAUAGAAGCUUGCUUCUAGGCGUCGAGUGGCGGACGGGUGCGUAACGCGUGGGAAUUUACCUUUUAGUGGGGGAUAGCCCGGUGAAAACCGGAUUAAUACCGCAUACUACUCUACGGAGGAAAAGGGGCCUCUCCUUGGAAGCUCUUGCUAUUAGAUGAGCCCGCGUAAGAUUAGCUAGUUGGUUGAGGUAAUGGCUCACCAAGGCAACGAUCUUUAGCUGGUUUGAGAGGAUGAUCAGCCACACUGGGACUGAGACACGGCCCAGACUCCUACGGGAGGCAGCAGUGGGGAAUAUUGGACAAUGGGCGCAAGCCUGAUCCAGCAAUACCGCGUGUGUGAAGAAGGCCUGAGGGUUGUAAAGCACUUUCAAUAGGGACUAAAUGUUCGUAGUUAAUAACUGCGGAUCUUGAAUUAACCUAUAGAAGAAGGACCGGCUAACUCCGUGCCAGCAGCCGCGGUAAUACGGAGGGUCCGAGCGUUAAUCGGAAUUACUGGGCGUAAAGCGCGCGUAGGCGGUUUAUUAAGUCGGAUGUGAAAGCCCUGGGCUCAACCUGGGAACUGCAUUCGAUACUGGUAAACUAGAGUAUAGUAGAGGUAAGUGGAAUUCCAUGUGUAGCGGUGAAAUGCGUAGAUAUGUGGAGGAACAUCAGUGGCGAAGGCGACUUACUGGACUAAUACUGACGCUGAGGUGCGAAAGCGUGGGGAGCAAACGGGAUUAGAUACCCCGGUAGUCCACGCCGUAAACGAUGUCAACUAGCCGUUGGGAGCAUUUGAGCUUUUAGUGGCGCAGCUAACGCAUUAAGUUGACCGCCUGGGGAGUACGCACGCAAG